rnacentral:rRNA from 1 species
UAGGGAAUCUUCGGCAAUGGGGGCGAACCCUGACCGAGCAACGCCGCGUGAGUGAAGAAGGUUUCGGAUCGUAAAGCUCUGUUGUAAGAGAAGAACGUGUGUGAGAGUGGAAAGUUCACACAGUGACGGUAACUUACCAGAAAGGGACGGCUAACUACGUGCCAG